CCACUCGGAGCAAAGCUCUCGUAGAAACUUGCGGAUAGGAGGUUCUGAGGACUGGCAGAGAACGUUAGCUCCAGAGGCGGAGGAGGGUGGUGGUUGGAAGAGCACCACGGCAGUUCUUGAUAAAGAAGAACUUCAAGGCUGCGUUUCAAAGUCAACAUACGGUCAAAACACUUAAAAGACACACCCUCGCCCACUUACCCUUAGGGGAAUCCUCGUGGCCAUUUUGGUGGGUGGUCCAAAUCAUUAGCCAAGCAAGGGACGUUUGCAACGUAAGCCCCUCAACCCUCGUUUUUUGUCGGCUUUGCGAGUGUACACUUAUGUUCACUCCGGGGCCUGAAACUCCCCAUAAUUCAAUUCGCGACGAUUGUACAAGUGUCGUUACUACAGCCCCCGGUUCAAAUCCAGGCUGUAUCACAUCCAGCCGUGAUUGGGAGUCCCAUAGGGCGGCGCACAAUUGGCCCAGCGUCGUCUGGGUUUGGCCGGGGUAGGCCGUCAUUGUAAAUAAGAAUUUGUUGUUUACUGACUAGCCUAAUUAGAUCAAGGUUAAAUACAUUUUUUUUAAAUUCCGGGAAAACUUAAAAACAACAUCAAUGGAGAAGUCAACAUACAAGUAUUGGCGGACCGGAAACCCAGUGACAACACUCUGGUCUGCAGCUGACAUUUUCCGUUGAGAAAUAGAAAUGGCCCUGUAUUUGCCAGAAAAUGUUGCUCAUCCAUCAUCGCAGAAGAGGAAGAGUCAUAUACUUCCACAAUGGCAGAAGAGGUAGAUCCAGACACAUUCAACAUGGCAGAUGAAGUUCCAGGCGCCUCGGCCACUGAAGAAUGUAGGAGGCUGCUGUCUACACCGUUGCGGAAUGUUCUCACUGAGGUGCCUCUUAUUAAGGAAACAGCGCUGUUGAAGGUUCUACAGGAGAAUCGGCUGUAUACCUGCAACGGGUAUUCAGCAUCGUGGCUGUCUGAUAAAGUACUGAGGAAAAAAACAGGACUUCCAGACAAAGACAUGUUCAACAUCGUUUUUGAAUACUUGGAAUGUUAAAAGGACUGCGUUGUCUACUUUGCCAAGUGGAGGGUGAAGAUGUUGUCAUUUGAAGAUCAAGUGUUUAUGGCUCUUAUGAAGUUGCAUCACAACUACACCACCUGGCUCAACUAUUCUGUUGUGGUGCAAUCACUGUCCGCAAUGUUACCAUCACUUUCAUUCACAAGCUUUUUUUCAUUAGCAUUAUGAAGACUUCCAAGUUGGGAACCAAACGUGCUUGUGUCUUUUCAUGGAUCCAGCAGAAACUGCAGGAUGGUCAUUGACUGUACUGCCAUGGAAGUAGUGCUUUCAAUGUGAUCUGUAUCGGACAAAGCAAUUGUCCAGGCUCUGUCGCAGCCGGCUGUGACUGGGAGGUCCAUGGGGCGACGCACAAUUGAGAAGAUUUUCAUGUCUUCAUGUCUGGAGACAUGAUUUUUGUCAGACAAGGCUUCUUUUUUUUUAAACCCUUUUUUCUCCCCAGUUACAGUUCGAGAGCCAUAUGUCCUCCUCAACCCAACCCAACCAAGCUGCACUGCUUCUUGACACAACGCACAUCCAACCCAGAAGCCAGCCGCACCAAUGUGUCGGAGGAAACACCGUACACCUGGCGACCUGGUCAGCGUGCACUGAGCCCGUCCCGCCACAGGAGUCACUAGUGCGCAAUGAGACGAAGAGAUCCCUGCCGGCCAAACCCGGACGACGCUUGGCCAACUGUGCGUCGCCCCAUGGACUUCCCGGUCGCGGCCGGCUGCGACAGAGCCUGGGCUCGAACCCAGAAUCUCUGGUGGCACAGCUAGCACUGCGAUGCAAUGCCUUAGACCACUGCGCAACCCAGGAGGCCCAGACAAAGGCUUCUUGAUCCAGAGCUUGACGCAUGCAGGAAUUACUGUGAACAUUCCUUAACCACAAAGGUUCAUAGAGCGUGAGAUGCAUCUCACAAAAGAUAUAGCGAGAAAUGGGAUCCAUGUUGAUAGGGCAAAUGCUUCCUGCCAUCCAGGACCUCUAUACCAGGCGGUGUCAGAGGAAAGCCCUAAAGACUCCAGCCACAGUCUAUAUUUAUAGUCAUUGACUGAUCUCUCUGCUACCUCAUGGCAAGCGGUACCGGAGUGCCAAGUCUAGAUACAAAAUGCUUCUCAACAGCUUCUACCAGCAAGCCAUACGACUCCUGAACUAUUUGCCCCCCCCUUUACGCCUCUGCUAUUCUCUGUUUAUUAUCUAUGCACUCCACUGAACCUGCCCCGGAGAGGGUUCCUUAGACUGAAGAUCCUUCUCUGUGGGCUCUCGGGACAGAGGGUUGUUGUCUUAAGCCAGGUACAGAUCCUCCACUGACUCCAGCUGGUUGGGCACGGCUGGCUCCCUCCACUUGCAUUCCACAUCCUCACAGCCGAUACUGUGAACUGCAAAAAUAGCCAAUGGUGCCGCCUGGCUACACUUAUAAGCUCUAUGGGGACAUUCACAUGUGGUAGAGAGAAUCCCCUGGUCACCUGUAGAGAUCUGCCAAGAGGAAAGAUGUUAAGUGCCAUAUGCCUUUCAAAGCAUGACUUUGAACAGCUUGAAAUGCAUUUGUGCUAUAUAAAUCAAAUUUGAUUUGAUUGAUGACAUUACAGUUGUAGAAUUUUUAAUAAACUGUCAUUUUCAUGAGGACAAGUGCAGUUUUUCCAUUACAUUUUUAUUGAACAUUUGAGAUUUUAUCACUUGAUAUCAAUUUGUAGAUGCAUUGAAAUGUUGACUUUAUGUCCCCCUUUCCCCACAUUUUAGAAAGGUGUGACUUGCAGAACAUCCUGCUCAUCCCAUGAGAAGCAGAGCAUGAUCAAUGCCACUUGCAGCAAGGAGAUCUUCUGGAAUGGAUGUACUCUCUCUCUGGGGGUAAGAUAAUUUAAACAUCACAGAUCUAUAAUCCUACUGUGCCCAUGAUAAAAUACAAUAUGAUUUGUGUUGUACUACUGAAUGAAACUGAAGAGAUGCACUCAGACCAGCCUUUGUGAUUGAACUUACGUUAAUUAUAUUACUUUAGUAGGCUGCUUUGAGCAAAACUUGAAUAUAAUAACCUAUUCUAGGAGCCUAUUAUUUGUUUCCAGACAACACCCUAUCCAACAACUGUGAAUGCCUUGAAAUGCAUAUUUAUUCAUUGUUCACUUGUUUUUCGACAAUGUCAGGUAGAGGCAGGGAUGACUGGGUUCUUCAGCAAGUAAGACACGGGGUAAAAAAUAAUUUAAACAUCACAUAUAUAAAUUCCCAAUGUGCCCAUUAUAAAGUUAACUACAUUACUUUAGUUAGCUGCUUUCAGCAAAAAAUGUAUGUAAUGUAACCUACUCUGGGAGACUAGUGUAUGUAUGUACAAUGUGGAAUAUUUUUGGAACAUUGGCUUCCCUGAAAACGGAGACUGACAGGAGGAUCAAUAGGAGUCUGCCAGAGGUCGUCACGCUGGAUGGUGAUGGAGGUUUUGGUGGUCCACACAAUGAAGAAGCAGGUGUCCCUUCAAGUGAUGUGGAGUUUACCUUGGACCAAGUGCCAGUAAGGAUGGUCUUCACGGAGGCUGUAAGACCCUUUCUUCUGGAUAUAGAAAUCCUUCAACUUCACUGCCUCUUCAAUGGUAAGGUCCCCUCCAUUUGACCUCCACAAAUGCUGUGGUGCCCACCAGACCAUCUGGUGAGGCACCCAGAAUCCCAGACCCCGUGACCCAAGCUUUGACUCCUGCACAUCCAUCCCUGUAGCCAUUUUGAAUGCCUUGAUGCCCUCCUUUUUAUCUGUGCCCCACUUUACACACAACACCCCUUCCAACGACUGUGAACACCUUGAAAUGUAAGCAUUUUAAGAAAUGUGAUACAAAAAUAGUUUGAUUUGAUUGACGACUACAGCUGUAGAAUAUUUAAUAAACUGUAAAGUGCAGUUUUUCCAUAAACUUUUAAUUGAUAACUUGGGAUUUUGUCACUUGACAUAUCAAUCAUACAGUGGGAAGGAUCCUAUAAAUCAAGACUGUGUGGAUGCAUGUACCUCUCCGAAAAAAUAAAUACAAUAAAGUCUGAUGUCUAAACAAA